rnacentral:rRNA from 1 species
CCAAAAAUCAAGGGCGGGAUGGGAUUCACGGACUUCCAUUGUUUUAACUUAGCAAUGGUCAGUAAACAUGGUUGGCGCUUGUUGACUACUUCGGAGUUCCUUUGUGUUAGAGUGUUGCAGGGUAAAUAUUUCCCCCACUCGAAUUUUCUUCAUGCCACGGCUCCACCGCAUGCGUCGACAACUUGGAAGACCAUCAUGGCUGGAAAGAAGGCAAUGUAG